UACGUAGGGGGCUAGCGUUGUUCGGAAUUACUGGGCGUAAAGCGCUCGUAGGCGGCCUGUCAAGUCGGCGGUGAAAUCCUGGGGCUCAACCUCAGAAUUGCCUCCGAUACUGGCAGUCUCGAGUGCGGGAGAGGUGAGUGGAAUUCCCAGUGUAGAGGUGAAAUUCGUAGAUAUUGGGAAGAACACCAGUGGCGAAGGCGGCUCACUGGCCCGUAACUGACGCUGAGGUGCGAAAGCGUGGGGAGCAAACAGG
rnacentral:rRNA from 1 species